rnacentral:lncRNA from 1 species
CUGAAUUGCCAGCAUCAUUACUUAGGAACAUUAUUAAGUAAAAUAAGGAUUACUUGAACACAAGCACUGUGAUGCUCAAUAGUUGAUCUGAUAACCAAGACGGUUAGUUACUAAGUGACUAAUGAGCAGGUAAUAUAGAUGGCGUGGAUGUGCUGUACAAAGAGAUGAUUCACGUCCCAGGCAGGACAGAGUGGGAUGGCGUGAGAUUUCGUCACAUUACUCAGAACAGCAUGCAAUUUAAAACAUGAAUUGCUUUCCAUUUAAAAAUAAAGGAAUUUGAUUAUGCGUUCUCUAAAGCUUCCAAAAGGAUCCAGUCCCAGAUACGUAUUACAUUUAGUCAUCAUGGCUCCUUCGUCUCCUCUGCACAAGGGGAAGCAGCCUGUGGCCCUCACCAGAUGCAGAUAUCCAAUCUUCCAGCAAACAGAAUCGGUCUGCCUAUCCUCACAUAAGCCAAUCCAUUCUCCAUCUCCUUUAAGCAGACAUAUACUGCCUCACGAGGAAACUGACAUCCAGUAAAAGAUCAACAUUAAACAUAAGCCUGGUAGCAGAACCAUAACAGAACCCUGCACUCAUGAUGCCUUCUGAGGACUCUGCCCAUCUUCCUUGAUUAACUCCAGAAUACAGAAGCAACCCUAAAAAUGCAAGCAAACAUCCUGAAGAAGUCAGGAAUGGAUUUUUCUAAGACUCUGUAUAGGCAUACCUCGAAGAUAUUGUGGGUUGGAUCCAGACUACUACAAUAAAGAGAGUAUAAUAAUAAGUUAAGUCACAUAAAUUUUUUAUUUACUUAUAUAUACACUAUAUUGUAGUCUAUUAAGUAUGCAAUAGCAUUAUGUCUUAAAAUUUGUGUAUAUCUUAAUUUAAAGAUAUUUUAUUGUGAAAAAUGCUAACAAUCAUCUUGAGCCUUCAGUGAGUUAUAAUCUUUUGGCUGAUGGAGCAUCUUACCUCAAUUGUGGUGACUGUUGGCAGAGUGGUGGUUGCUGAAGGAUGGGGUGGCUAUGGCAAUUUCUUAAAAUAAAACAAUGAACUUUGGUGUAUCUGUCAACACUUCCUUUCAGAAGAGUUUUCUGUAGCCUAUGAUGCUGUUUAACAGCAUUUUACUAUCAGUAGAACCUCCUUCAAAAUUGGAGUCAAUCUUCUCCAACCCUGUUGCUGCCUAAUCAACCAUGUUUAUGUAACAUUCUAAAUUCUUUGCUGUUAUUUCAACAAUGUUCACAGGGCCGGGCACGGUGGCUCACGCCUGUAAUCCCAGCACUUUGGGAGGCUUAGGUGGGCAGAUCACGAGGUCAGGAGAUCAAGACCAUCCUGGAUAACACGGUGAAACCCCGUCUCUACUAAAAAUACAAAAAAAUAGCCGGGCAUGCUGGCAGGUGCCUGUAGUCCCAGCUACUCAGGAGGCUGAGGCAGGAGAAUACUGUGAACCCAGGAGGCGGGGUUUGCAGUGAGCCAAGAUCGCACCACUGCACUCCAGCCUGGGUAACAGAGCGAGACUCUGUCUCAAAAAAAAAAAAAAAAAAAAAAACAAGGUUCACAGCAUCUUCACCAAGAACAGAUUCCCUCGCAAAAAAACACUUUCUGGCCAGUUGCAGUAGUUGCUGUAAUCCCAGCAAUUUGGGAGGCCAAAAUGAGAUGGUCACUUGAGCCCAGGAGUUUGAGACCAGCCUGGGCAACAUAGGGAAACACUCUCUCUCCAAAAAAAAAAAAAAAAAAAUCAAUUUGCUGGGAAUGAUGGUGCAUACCUAUAGUCCCAGCUACUCAGGAGGCUGAGGUGGGAGGAUUGCUUGAGCCCAGAAGGUCAAGCUACAGUGAGAUGUUAUUGUGCCACUGCACUCCAGUUUGGGCAACAUAGUGAGACCUUGUCUCAAAAAUUAAAAAAAAAAAAAAAAAAAAAAGGAAAAGAAAAAAGAAACCACUUUAUUUGUGCAUCCAUAAGAAGCAACUCCUCAUCACUCAUCCAUCCGAGUUCUAUCAUGAGAUUGCAGCAAUUCAGUCCCAUCUUCAGGCUUCACUUAUAAUUGUAGUUCUCUUGCUAUUUCUACCAUAUCUGCAGUUACUUCCUCCAUUGAAGUCUUCAACUCCCCAAAGUUAUCCAUAAGAGUGAUAAUCGACUUCUUUCAAACUCCUGUUAAUGUUCAUAUUUUGACUUCCUCUUAUGAAUCACAAAUGUUCUUAAUGGCAUUUAAAAUGGUGAAUCCUUUCCAGGAGGUUUUCAACUCACUUUGCCAAGACCUAUCAGAGGAAUUAAUAAAAUAUAAAAUAUAAAAAUAACAUCAAUGUCCUUGCACAUGUCCAUCAGAGCCCUUGGAUGACCAAUUCAUUAUCAAUGAGCAGUAAUAUUUUGGAAAUAAUCUUUUUUUCUGAACAUUAGGUCUCCACAGCGGGCUUAAAAUUUUUAGUAAACAGUCUGUAAAAAGACUUGCUGUCGCCCAAGCUGUGUUGUUCUAUUUAUAGAGAACAAGCAGAGUAGGUAUAGUAUAAUUCCUAAGGAACUUAGGAUUUCCAGAACGAUCAAUGAAUAUUGGCUUCAACUUGAAGUUGCCAGCUUCAUUGGCCCCUAACAAGAGAGUCAGCCUGCCCCUUAAAGCUUUGAAGUCAGGCAUUGACUUCUCCUCUCUAGCUAUGAAAGUCCUAGAUGGCAUCUUCUUCCAAUAGAAGGCUGUUUGUCUAUAUUGAAAGUCUGUUGUUUAACAUAGCCACCUUUGUCAAUUAUCUUAGCUUGAUCUCUGGAUAACUUGCUUCAGCUUCUCCAUCAGCACUCACUGCUUCACCUUGCACUUUUAUAUUAUGAAGAUGGCCUCUUUCCUUAAACCCCAUGAACCCACCUUUGCCAAUUUUAAAUUUUCUUCUGUAGCUUCCUCACUUCUCUCAGCCUUCAAAGAACUGCACAGAGGUAUGGCCUUGCUCUGGAUUAGGCUUUGGCUUUAGGGAAUGUUGUGACUUGUUUGAUCUUUUAUCCAGACCACUAAAACUUUCUCUGUAUCAGCAAUGAAACUAUUUCACUUUCUUAUCAUUUGUGUGUUCGCUGAAGUAGCACUUUUAAUUUUCUUUGAGAACUUUUCCUUUGCAUUCACAACGGUUUGGCUCAAGAGGCUUAGCUUUCAGCCUACCUUGGCUUUCCACAUGUCUUCCUCACUAAUUUCAAUCAUUUCUAACUUUUGACUGAAAGUGAGAGAUGUGCCACUCUUCAUUUCACUUUAACACUUAGAGGACAUUGUAGGGUUAUUAAUUGGUCUAAUUUCAAUAUUGUUGUGUCCCAGGGAAUAGGGAGGCCUGAAGAAAGGGAGAGAGAUGAGGGAAUGGCCAAUUGGUGGAGCAAUUAGAAUGCCCAUAUUUACUUACUGAGUUUCCUGUCUUAUAUGGGCACAAUUUGUGACACCCCAGGACAGUUAUAAUGGUAACAUCAGAGAUUGCUGAUUACAGAUCUGCAAAACAGAUAUAAUAACAAGAUUUGAAAUAUUGCAAGAAUUACCAAAAUGUAACAGAUUGAAGUAAAGUGAGCACCUGCUCUUGGAAAAAUGGUACCAAUAGACUUGCUUGAUGCAGUGUUGCCACAAACCUUCUAUUUUUUAAAAAUGCAAUAUUUGCACAAAGCACAAUAAAGUGAAGUGCAAUAAAAUGAAGUAUGCCUGUAAUUGUCAUAUGUGUUCCAAAGCCCUAUCUAAACCAUUCAUAGUGAUAACAAUCCAAAAUAUUUUUAGAAUCUCCAGAAAACUUGAUUCAUUCUCUACAUUUUAGAAUCACAAUUAUAUCUAGAAUGUAUCUUGAAUAUUAUCUGCAAUCUUUAUUUACAAUACUCUCUUGUUCAUUUAUUUAUUUAUCUGAUUUUUUUCAGUAAACAGAAUAUUCAAUCCUAAGAGUCAUGAAAACCUCAAGUUUGAGCUCUACUCUAGUUGGUUGUAUGACUUUAAAAGUAGUACUUUAUAUCUCAGUAAUUAAAUUUUAUACUCUAUAAAAUUAAGGGUUUAGUCCAAUGCAUUUUAAAGGUCCCUUCCAGUUUCAAUGUUUAAGAUUUAAUAAUUACAAUAAUUGUUUACAUUAAUGAGUGCCAGCCAUUCUACUUAGCACCUAACAUAAUUUACCUCAUUCAAUCUUCCUAAAGCUCUAUGAAAUAAGUGCUAUUAUUAUUGAUAUUUUACCAAUGAGAAGACUGAGGCACAGGGAAGUUACAUAACUUUCCUGAAACCAUUCAACAGAAAGCAUAAAGCUGGAUGGAAAUCCAAGUAUGACUUAUUCUACUCUGAACAACAUCUAAAUCAAAGGGCAGGUGAGUAGAGAUAAAAAGUUACCCCAAAUGUUAAAUUCAGUCACUUCAGAAAAUUUCAGAAUGCUUGGCAGCAACUCUAGCUAUGAAUUGCUAAAUCACAAAGCAACAGGAAAAAUAUUUCCUGUCUCCAGCUAUCCCUCCCUCCUAAGCUGUAUUCCAUCAGCACAUCAGCACGUCUCCCCACAGACUCUCCCCAACCACGUGCACCAGUUCUACCUAAAUAUACAGGCACAUGUGUGCUCACAUACACACACACACACACACAUACACUGCUGGAAGAAGGAUAUCUACCUACUAAGUCUAUCUUAAAACACAGAAUGAUAUUUUAUAUGGCAAUCUUUAUAUAAUAAGAUUAGUGUGUUUGAAAUUGGAUUUUUAUAAAGAUAACGGAGCUUUUUAUUUCAUUUACAUGGAAACACCUACAAAGACAGUCACACACAUACAAAGUCACUGGCCUCAAACUAUUUUACCCACUUUUUUAUUAACAGAAAAAUUUUCUCUUUAAAUUAGUUUUGCUUAAGAUAGCAAUGGAGAAGAAACAAAAAGACACUCAACCUGAUAACAACAAUUAAACAGGAUAUUGAGCUAAAAUUUGAAUGAUCCUUAUUUUGAUCCCUGGCUAAUCAAAUUUUGAAAGCAUUCUCCAUAGCCUGUAGGAGUGUUUCAACUACAACAUGUUCUAAUGUUCUUCAGCAUGUUAUUCCUUCAUAAAACUGAAAAAUAUAGGAAAAAGUGUGCAUCAGUUCUUAGUCACUAGUGUAAGCAUAAUGUAGCCAUUAGUUAGAGAGCAUAUUCUAGUUAGUUUGUGGUAGCAAUUCUUCAGUUAACCUAUUAACAUACUCCAAUUUUAUUUAAGUAGUUUCAAAUUUAAAGAAAAAUAAAGAAUAUUUGAUAUUUUAAUGAAAUGAUGUAUUUAGUUGUGCCCAUCUGUACAAAAAAAUACAAAAUAUUAGUCAGGCAUGGUAGCACACACCGAUAGUACUAGCUACUUAGGAGGCUGAGGCAGAAGGAUUGCUUGAGUCCAGGAGUUCAAGGCUACUGUGAGCUAUGAUAGUGCCACUGCAAUCCAACUGAGUAACAGAAUGAGUUGCUAUUUCAAAACAGAAAUUUUCUUUUGGUAGCUGUCUCCUUGGAAAAUACAUGAGUAAUUAAUAGAGAAUUAUAUACCUAAAUAAUAAUAGAAAAAUAUUGAAGAAAUACAUACAUAUAUAUUAUAUAUGCAAAUUAAAUAAAACAUAUGCAAAUAUUUUUAAAUUGAAUAUUUAUCAUAACUUUAGAGGAGAAUGCUAAGUUUAAACAUCAUGCAACAACUUCAGGAAAUAAAAGUGCAGGAAUUCUACUUUGAAAAACAGUGUGCUAGGUUGGACCAACCAUCCUACUGAGAACAACUAGAAAAACUGAAUAAAAUACAAAAACAUAUUCUCAAAAAAAUGAAGAAGUUUAAAAAUAGUGAAGAAUUACCUGCUUAAGAUCUUGGAAGACUAUGAAAUUCAGAGAGUUAAGCCUGUCAUUUUUGGGCUCAAAUAACACUGGUAGCUGAAAGACUGGCAUCUUUGACAGUCCUAUAAUGUUAGGAACCAAAGGUUGAGGUACAAUAGCAAAGGAUGUUGGUCCUUAUAAAACACCACCCUUUAGGUAGGAAUCCUGAAAGGACGUACCCUAAUGGUAAUAAUGAACCAAAAAUAAACAAGUAAAGAUGAACUACAGACCAGCUUUGCAUCACUCAGAUAGCUCAGCAAAUCUUGUUCCUCAAAAUUGAAUUCUAAAAAUCUUUAAUUUUCAUUGAACUGAAGCUAAAAAAGUCAGAUAAAAUGUUUCUCUCUGUAUGAAGAUAAUAUUAUCCUAGGCCUUUAAAUUUUUACAAAUUUUAAAAUACCUUGUUAAGUCUACCAUCAAAAAUAACUAGGUACGUGUAUAGAAAAGGCAACAUGAAUGAGAAAUAAUAAAAAUAACAGAUAAAAUAAAUAUACCUAGAGGGGUUUCAUGUAUUAGAAUUAUCUGUCACAGACUUUAAAAUGAGUGAUAUGGUUUGGCUCUGUGCCCCCCCAACCCAAAUCUCAUCUCAAAUUAUAAACCCUGUAAUCCCCACAUGUUGAGGGAGGGACCUAGUGGGAGGUGGUUGGAUCAUGGGGGUGGUUCCCUCAUGCUGUUCUCAUGAUAGUGAGAGGUUUCUCACGACAGCUGAUAGUUUUAGAAGUGUUUGACAGUUCCUUCUUCCUGAACUUGCUCUCUUGCCUGCCACCAUGUAAGACGUGCUUGCUUCCUCUUCUGCCAUGGCUGUAAGUUUUCUGAGGCCUCCCCAGGCAUAUGGAACUAUGAGUCAAUUAAACCUCUUUUCUUUAUAAAUUACCUAGUCUUGGGCAGUUCUUUACAGUAGUGUGAAAAUGGACUAAUACAAUAACUGUACUUAUAACAGCAUAAAACAAAUUGUAGCAAGAAUUAAUUAUUAAAACAUUGCAUAGUCAAUGUGAAAAAGAAUAAAAUGGAGGCCCUAUAAUCAAAAACUGUAAUGGAAAUUAAGAACUCAGUGCCUGGUUUCAGUAGUAGAUUAGACUUGGAUGAAGGCAAUAUUAGUGAACAGGAAGAGAGCUCAGAAGAAAAUAUUUAGAAAGGAGUAAAGAAUGGAAAAUAUAGGAAAGUGCCUGAGACAUAGAGGACAUAGUAAAAACAUGUUACAUAUAGUAACUGUUGUUUCCAAAGGAAAGCAAAAAAAAAAAAGAAUAGGUCAGAAAUUACAUUUGGAAUUACAGCUAGAUAGGAGAGAUGAAUUAUAGUGUUCUGCAG